CCUACGGGUGGCAGCAGUAGGGAAUAUUGCUCAAUGGGGGAAACCCUGAAGCAGCAACGCCGCGUGGAGGAUGAAGGUUUUCGGAUUGUAAACUCCUUUUGUUAGAGAAGAUAAUGACGGUAUCUAACGAAUAAGCACCGGCUAACUCCGUGCAAGCAGCCGCGGUACUACGGGGGGUGAAGCGUUACUCGGAAUCACUUGGCGGAAAGAGGGCGUAGGUGGGAUUGCAAGUCAGAUGUGAAAUCCUAUGGCUUAACCAUAGAACUGCAUUUGAAACUGGUAUUCGAGAGUAUGGGAGAGGUAGGUGGAAUUCUUGGUGUAGGGGUAAAAUCCGUAGAGAUCAAGAGGAAUACUCAUUGCGAAGGCGACCUGCUAGAACAUAACUGACGCUGAUGCGCGAAAGCGUGGGGAGCAAACAGGAUUAGAUACCCUAGUAGUC
rnacentral:rRNA from 1 species